rnacentral:rRNA from 1 species
GUUUUGGCCAGGGCUGAGUGCUUGCCUAGAUGGCUGUCGGCAGUAGGAGGAGGUCGUUAGGGGUACACGAGAGACGGGGCGAGGCGGACUAGGGUGAGGGUCGUGGACCUGGGGAGGGGGACGAGCAGGCGCGGGGUAAGUGGGUGUAGGCGGUGGCAGGAGGUACGGGACGGGGGGCCACACGGACUGCUGGGCUAAGGAGCGGUUGCUUGAGGAGGAGGAGCCAAGGUGUGAAGAGCCUAGGAGCAGCGGGGCCGGCUCGUCUUUGGCCUCGGGACGGCGUCUAGGCGUCCCUCCUCCUCGGCUCCUCCCCCUUCUUACCUGCGGGGCAGCCACCGCGAGAUGUUGGUCGAGUUCCGACGGGUUGGUAAGAAGAACAAUCGACCCGGGUUACACUAGCUUAGUCUCCUUGUACAGUACUUCUACCGGUUUGUGUAGUUUCGGUAGUGUUGGUUCGAACCCCACGGAGAACACAAGUUUAGUUCGAAACUAUUUCGUUUGGCAUGUAGCAGCUUUAGGAAGGCGCCAGGACCAGACCUUGUUCCGGAUUUCUAGGAACUUUUCCACUUCCGACGUAUACUGGAAGGUCACCAGUGGCUGCACGUACUUUCGACGGUCACGCUUCGACAACCUUCUCAACGACUAUAAUAUGUCUAAGGUCGAAAGGAGACAGCGGUCUGACUGGAAGAUCACCGACGCCGAUUCUGACCCUUUUAAUAGUUAUAGUUCUUUCCUGUUAAGACACGGGGCAGACAAUACCGGUUGAGACGCCUCUUUUAAUCUGAACGACCUUUAGUAUUACACUACCAGACACUCGCUCCGUGGUACAAACCGAUGUUACUAGAUUAACAACUAGGUUCCUUGAAACUCACCGACUCCCUUUGUUUAACGGGUCAACAUCGACUGCAUUGUGUACGAGAUGUUGUUGGUCGACCCUUUUUCGAACUACCACCACCCCAGCGUUCACCCCCGAAUGCUCUUGAGUAUGGUACGUAGCGUUCCUGACGACAACGUCAACCACAACUACCAUAAAAGUACCUCCAUGUACUACUAGGGGACUUAAGUGGUACACUGCCCGGUUGAGUUACCGGUAACGCGUUAAACCUCCUCGACAAUCUUCUUAACUAACGCUAGCGAGCUCAGUGGUUUCCUUUCUUCGGUGAGUUCUAGCUGGAUUGAGGUAAGUUCCUUACUAAACCGUCACCCAUCGUUAUCCUUAUUGAAACAGCAAUGGUUAACCAAAGUGGUUAUACCAGCACAGGUCAACCUCGUGUAAAAAGCUUUAGCCUGUCGAACCAUUUCUUUGUGAGCGCCAACGUACUCGUACUACUAUCGUCGAAGGAGAUAAAUAGCGACCACUAUUUUGACCACCGGGGGGUAGGUACAGAUACUUUACCACAAAAUAUAGUGUAGGGAACUUGUCAAACUUGUCUCGGGGUCUCCCCUCCCUUCGUGGAACUUGGCUUACUCCUCUCUAAACGUCCCCUGUAAUUCGCACUCUAAUUCCCUGUUAAUCGUAAUCAGGUUGCAAUUAACAAUGUUUGUACUUCGCAUACCGACUCUAACAAAUCUAAGGUCUCUGUUACCACGAAAGAUAUCCCCAUCACUAUAAACAACAUGAUUCUAAAGGAGAAAGAUUAUAGGUUCUAGUCUUUGUAAGUUAAGUUAUGAGUACACGUAGAGGUCGCUGUUACUACGUUGCAA